rnacentral:rRNA from 1 species
AUGGAUUCCCUGGCGACGUCCACGGCCCGGAGAUGGGCGCUCUGCUCCCUCCUCUGCCUCUGCCUCUUCUCCGCGGGCCUCCUCCUCGGCUCCCGCCCCUUCUUCUUCCCCGCGCUGCCGCCGCCGCCGUGGGAGCACUUCUCCAGGCUGCAGCAGCCCGCUCCCCGUCCUCCUCCUCUUCUUUUUCAUCAUCAUCACCAUCAUCAUGCUGCUGCCUACCAUUACCACGACGACUCCAUGGCGCCAGCGCCGGACGCCGGCCCCGGAGAUCUUGGCAGGGAGGAGGAGAAGCAAGACGAGGAGCCGGCAGCGUCAGCGCCCUCUCCCCCUCGUGCUGCUGCUGCUUACCAUGACCACGACGACUCCACGGCGCCCGCGCCGGUCGCCGGCUCCGGAGAUCUCCGCAGCGAGGAGGAGGGGCAAGAAGAGGAGCUGGCAGCAUCAGCGCCGGCGCCCGCGCCGGCAUCGGACGGCGACGGACAGGGGAGGGAGUGUGACCUGUUCGACGGGAGCUGGGUGCGCGACCCGGCGAGGUACCCGCUGUACGAGGCGGCGGAGUGCCCGUUCCUCAGCGACCAGGUGACCUGCCGGAGGAACGGCCGCCCGGACGCCGGCUACGAGCAGUGGCGGUGGCAGCCGAGGGGGUGCGGCGGCGCCGUCGGGAGGAUCGACGGCUCCGGGGCGCUGGAGCAGUGCCGGAACAGGCGGCUCGUGUUCGUGGGCGACUCGCUCAACAGGAACAUGUGGGAGUCGCUGGCCUGCAUCCUCUACACGGCGCUGCCCGACCGCUCGCGGGCGCGCGUCCACCACGCCAGCUCCGAGCACAAGAUCUUCCGCGCCAUGGAUUACAAUUGCUCGGUGGAGUUCUUCUGGAGCCCGUUCCUGGUGCAGCUUGAGACCAAGCCGGACCGGACCAAGGUGCUCAAGCUGGACCAGCUCCCAGCCAUGCUUCAGCAGGUGAUCGGGGCAGACGUCCUCGUCUUCAACACCGGCCACUGGUGGACGCACACCGGCAAGCUCAGGGCCUGGGACCACCUGGAGAGAAACGGGAUGCUGGUCAAGAUGGAAGGAGAGGAGGCAUUCAGCAGAGCACUGAGGACAUGGGCGAGAUGGGUGGAUCACAACGUGGACCAGACCAGAACCAGGGUCUUCUUCCGAAGCGUCUCGCCUGAACACAAAGGUGCAAACUGGUGCUACAAUCAGACGGCCCCCAUCGCCGCGGACGAAGCAGUCGUUCCAUGGUUCCCGAAGAGCAUGGUGUCCAUCGUCAAGGGGAGCAUACGGAGCAUGAGGACGCCCGCCGCAUAUCUCAACAUCACGCGUCUAUCCGAGCUGAGGAUCGACGCGCAUCCUUCGGUGUACUCCAUCAACAGGGAUGGGAAGCCUCUGACGCUGGAGCAACGGCGGCAGCCGGUCGUGUAUGCUGACUGCAGCCACUGGUGCCUGCCGGGGUUGCCUGAUACUUGGAAUGUGCUUUUGCUUGCUUCCUUGACGAGACAUCCUUCAUCUAAUGUACAGUUGUAG